GGAAGGAUCUGUGUGUCAUUUCGUGGAACUACUCUGUGACAUCACGGAGGCCAAACCCAACAUGGAGGUGCUGGCUGUUCUGUGCUGUCAUUGAUGGUCAUCCCUGCACAUUGCAAUCAGAAAACAGAUAAUUUCUCAAAGAUGUUUCUCUUUUUAAGAUGGUCAGAGUAGGAGGAAUGUUUUUAUAUCUUAGUUUUUUUUUCAGUUGUGCUGUUGCUGUACGUCAUUAAUGCAAUAUACUCUGCAUUUUUUGGUGGAUCUUAGGAAAAUAAUGAAAACCACCUGAGGACUGAGACUUUGUGGAGCAGUGCAUAGUGUAUUCUAAAACCUUUCUUUUUUUUUCCUCCUGGUGGUAUGAUAGAUCCUGGUUUGUUAAUUAGUGCUGUUUGUUCACUUUGCAGUAACAGCUGACCAGCCUGAGUCUUCCAGGGAGUACCAGGGAGUCCCACCAGUUCAGUGGUUUAUGGCAGUAUUGUUAUAAGAGUUCUAGAAGUCUGUUCCUUAUUUCAGAAGAAAAUAAUUCUAUGAAAAUUCAAAAUUGCCACUGCAGAUAAUCUCUCUGUUCUUUCAACAGGCACAUGGAGGGGAAAAUUUUUGGGGAAGGGGAAAAGAGCAGCUCCCUGCUGUUAUUCCAGAGCAAAUGUUCUCAAAGGUAUGGACAAUUUUAAAGUAUAGGUGUAACUAUUCAGCAUCAUGCCUUUUUCUGUCCUGAAGGUGCAGCCAAUAUCUGAACUGUGAGAGGGAAGGCAAUAACCACUGUGCUGACACUGGAAAGAACAAAGGAAAAGGAAAAGUCUUUAAAAUACAUGCAAGAAUGCAUAAAGAUUUACAGUGGACUAUUACAUGUGGCUCUUUCCAGGACAUUAAUUUAAUUGGUUCUUUUCAGGUGUAAAUAAAAAUGUGGCCUUGUAUUAAAUGUUGGAUAGCCUCAUAUCACCUACUCAUGCUUAAAACCACUCCAACUUUUAGUGUGGAUGGCUUAUCUUCAUGUCAGCCUGUUAAUUCUUUAGGAAAUCUGUUUUGCAUCUAGACAUUUUUAUAUUUGGUGCAAGGGUCCCAAAAUGUAUCAUGCAUGCUCUACUUGUUGUUUGUUUGUCUUCUUAUAAUCAUUAUUAUGAAAUUUAUAUAAAGGGAUACAGAAAAGUAUUAGUUAUGGUGAAAUUGUUAAGCAGUGAUUUCCACCAGAGCUGUGUGGCAGUAUUACCAGAACUACUACAAUCUUUUUCUUCUCACAGUAAUUUAAGGAAAAGAUUGUGUUUUUGUGGGAAUGCUUAUAUUUUUACUAUUAACAUAAAUUAAGACAAAAUUAAGUCUCAAAUAUGAGUCUAUCAACUUAUGCAUAAUUUUUUUGAGUAAUUGACUGCUGGUGUCGUCACAGGCAAUGGAUCUGGAGACUGGUUCUGUAAGAUCAGUCAUAAUGUCACUACGGAACCAAUGGAUUAAGAAAGGGGGUCUAUAUUCAGGAAAGCAGUUAAUUCCUCCAAUGUUGAUGUGGUUAAACUCAAUCAAAAUCUAAGAGAGAAGUCAGAUCUAUUAUCAGUGAAAUACAUUUUUGUCUCUGUUGGUGUUAAUGUAAGAUUUUCUUUAGCUGAAGCAGCUUAUUGAUGUUUAAUUAGAAUUUUGAAUAACACUUAGAAUCAUCAAUUUUAACAAAUUUACCAAAUUUAUACAGAUUUUUUUUUCUGGUGCCCAUCUGUGUCAGUUGUAAUAGACUCAGGGCUUUAAUGAUGCAAAUUAAAUUUUCCAGUGAGAGAAAUGCCAGUAUAGGCCAAGAAUUAAUUCUGAAUCCAGAGGGGGAAGAGCAAACUAUUAAUUCAUUACAUCUGGCAGAAGCAAUUCAGUAGCUUCCUCUCUAGUUACUUUAGUUCUAUUUGUUCUGAAAAAGCAAAGGAAACCAACCCUUCCUGUAUGUGUUUUGCACAUGGGGUUGCUGGACUCUUCUCUCAGACAGACCUGGUUGUCUGUUGCUUUCUUUAUUUUUCUUGCUCUGCUGUCACAAACCUCUAAAGACAGGUGAUGGAGAGAGCACUGAAAUCCCCUCUGAAUCAGUGCAGCCCCAGGUGCACCAGCAGUGUCUCAAAAAUCACGUGCUUAACCCUGGAUCAGUACAACAGGAACUGUGGCACAGGAAUGGUGGGAAGAAUAGCUGGAAGGAGAGCUGGAGGUGCUGAUACUCAUGUGGAAAUGUUUACAUCCUGCUGAUGAAGCUCUGCCAAAGCCAUUCAUCGUAUCUUGCCUAAAUCUGGCAAGAAUGGGGAAACUGACAAGGAAAUUGCUAAUCUUAGUGAGGGGAAUGGGUUUUUUUGGUGACACAAAGGUGAAUCUUGGGUCAGAAUCAGGGAUGAGUUGAAAUCCUAAAAAAAAAAUCCAUUAUAUUUCAUGUCCUUCUCUCCUGUGCAGAUGUGGAUGCUUUGGAUGUUUUUCUCUGGUUUGACAAGGGUUUAUAUUCUAAAAGCUGUCAAAAUCAUUUUCCACAAUAAAAGUUCAGUAAAUUAAGACUUCAAAAACAAGCAAAAAGAAAAAGAGAACAUUUUCAAGCAAUUAAUAAAUAUAUUUGUGUUUUAGGUUUGUCAUUUACAGGUGUAUGAACAAUAGAAAAGUCCUUUUUUUAAUUUCCUUAAUAAUUUGCUUAUGAAUACAAUUCUUUGAAUAAGUACAUGCUGUGAAUAUCAAGUGUGAAAAUAGUCCAGGUUUCACAAGAAUGUUGCAUAAAACCAAAAUGAGAACAUAAUGUUUCUGGAAAUAGUCACAGGUACUGACCACUGCUUGGGGAACAUUUGCUUCAAAGUAUGUAAGGGCAUUUUUAGGUAUUUAAACUGAAAACAAGCAGUUUAAUUAAAAAUAAAUCCCACAUGCUGGAUGAAGUACAUGGCUGCUUGGGUGGUAAUGCUUUUAGGCUUAUAUUCUAUACAGAAUUUUAGAAAUCCCACCUUACCUGUCAUGAAAUCCUUUUGUGUCAGAGUCAACCUACAUGAGGAGAUAAACAGAUGGUAUAACUGAGAGCACACAAAAUGCUAGCUUAGGUAAAAUGCACACUGCUGAUAACCCACUAAGCCUUCCUGGGUAUGCUAAUCCUAAUUUAUGUUAAACCGUAAUUAAGACAGUUUUGUUUAUUGCUUGUAGCCAUGAGCACCUGGAAGACUGACUAAUCCCAUCCAUGUGUUGGGGACAAUCCAGCAGCUAUUGUUAACUCAGAAUGCAGAAAAAAUUGUAUUUGUGAGUUGUUUUCAUUGGUGUUUUUCAGGCAUUUAUAGAGGCUCUUUUCCCCAUCGUCUCAGGAACUGGAACAGAAGAAGCAUCCUAAACAAAAUGGAUGAAGGGAUUUUUGGAACAGGAGGCCAAAAUCUAAAUAGGCUUAAUGUGUUUCCAGCCAAACUUUAAAUCAGAAUAUCUCUGAUAUACCCAUGCAAAAAUAGAUUCACAACUUCUCUUGUAGCUGUGCCUCUGUCUGGUGCUGCACAUUUAAUUAGGCAUAACUGUCAGAUUUUCAGGAUUCUGAAGGGUUUUAUUCAGGUGGCCAUGAGUGCUACUAUUAAAGUGAAACGAUGAGUGAUGGGCAGAGAAAAAGGGGCAGAACAAACUGAAUCCUAGGAGAAUAAUGCCAUAGGAAUGGGAACACUUAAGCCCACUAGGUGCAAAAUUUCAUGUUUUCAGCUGCAUUCUUUUUCUUAUUAUAGACUAAACCUAUGUUCUCACAAAUGUUGCUGUAUAUGUAUCAGGUACAGGUUUUUGACCUGGUACAUGGAUUCACACAAUUACAUCAGUCAUGGAUUGUGCCCUCAGUUGGCAAUAAUUGUUUUCUGUUUCAUGUAUAGCAUUUCUUAAACUGUAGGUAGGAGUACCCAGGUCAAUAUAAAUUAUUACUGUGAAAGAUUUUUCCCUUUAGAAGAAUUCUUGCCCUAGAAGUGUAUUCAUUCUAAUGACCUCAAAUCAUCCAGUUUAAAAGUCAUGCAAGAAUGGUAAUGUUUUUCAUCUUCUAUUGUUAAAUAUUUGAGCUGUUUCAGGAUUUCUUGUUCUUAAAAGUUUCAUUUUCUGCCUUGUCAUGAUGGAAAAUAUGCAAACCACUUUUAAGUGAUAACUAUAUUCUCUGUACUGUUUUGAAGUCAGCCCAUGCAGAGACCACUUGCAGUGUGGAAAUUUGGAUCUAAUUAUCCAUUCAUUACAUAUUGAAAAGUAUUCAUUGAAUGAAUUUUUCAUCAGGUCGUGGUAAAACAGAAAUAAAGAAUUAAGGACUGAAGGUGAGCAUGUGUCUCAUAGUUUGAACAGAAUUCAAGUGUUAGUGCAACUGCUUUGCAAAACCCUCUGAUUCUUCUCAGGUUUAACUCAUGGUAUUUGUAAUUACGUAAAUUUUCUUGUCAGUUACAAUUAGAUUUGAUUUUUGUAAGAAAUCAAAAUUAGAAAUGAAAAUUUUGCAGUGUGCAUACAUUUGUUAUAGAGCCUAAAAUGAAUGCCUUAUCUGCAAUAAUUUCAUGUGGAUUCUUCUUAUGGACAGCAGAGAGCAGCAGUGUGAUGACCUGAAUCAGAAGGAAUAAUGUUAAGGAAUUCUGAAACUAACUAACAAGUUAAAUGCUUCCAAAAGAACCCCAAUUAUUGCCCUCAUACCAGUGGAAUUCUUUUUUGAGAGACUUUUGCAAAGAAAAAAAAUGGGAGAUUGUGGAAAAAAGAAAAAAGAUAUUUCCAAUAAAACAACUAUUAUGAAAAUAUUUGUCAAACAAGAUGUUUACAUAGAGCAAAAAAAAAGUGAUAGGAGAGGGUGAGUAACUAAUUAAGGGAAAAGAAGGAUUAGUGUCUGAGCUGUGUUUAGAACUGUCCAAAAUGAUGAUGUACAGCAACAGAGAAACAUUAGAUCACAGGCUAUAGCUUAAAGAAAAAAAUUACUUGAAUGUGUGAUUAAUAGUCAGAAAUUGGUGAAUUGAAUAACCUGAAAUUUUGGAAAUCAAUAACAGUGUCUGCAGGUAAUCUGCAAGUUAGUAUUUUUGUUUGUCUUGGGAGUUCAUGGGUACAGAUCAAACCACAUGAAAUCAUUCAGGGUAGAAGUCAUGUGCAAUAGAAAAUACUUUUUCUCAGGACUUGAAAAUACUUUUUUCAUGUAUCCCACUUCAUCUGAUAGCUAAAAGCCCAGAUUUACAAUUUUGGAUAUUUUUUACCAGUGGCUGUGUUUUACCCUCCAUUAUUUUCCAUAGUAAAAACAGGAUGCAGACUCUGGUGGGUAAUGAGCAGAUAUAAAUACCUAUGAGUCAGAUAAAUUAUGCUGGGUCCCUUCAUUGCAGGGAUGCUGCUGCCCUGAAGGAUGCAGGCAGCUGCUGUUGCCCUGGUGAUUGCUCCUUGGAGUCUGGGCUGCACAGGGCUGCAUUCCUCACCUCUCCUUAGGUCUUUGCAUUUCUGUAGACAGCUCCUGUGGACAAAGGCCACAAAUUAAAUGCAAAGAAAUGAAACAGCAAGCACAGAGCCUGAAUGUGAUAUGUUGAAAAUGGCAUAUGGUUUAUAAGGAGUAUCACAGUAUCUUAAUAGGAAACUAAACAUAGAUGCACAAAAUCUCUGCCAAGCUGAUCUGAGGUCUGAGUUUGUGUGUCCCAUCUGAGUCAGAAGGGACAGCAAGUGGAGUUUUCUGAUGGCUGAAUUAUUGAGGUGGCUAUGUGCAAACUUUUUUUACGCUUUUAUAUUUUUUUCCUGUCUCUUCUGCUUUAGGCCCCAAGAUCUGAUCUGAACAGUUCUGAAUUAAAAAUAAAAGCUGCUACAUUUCACAAGUAGCAGAGUAUUUUUUUUUUCAGAGCUCAACUCUCUGUUUCAUUUAAUAAUGAAAUUUUUAUUCUUUGAUUUUUUCAGUUAUUUUCCCUCAUAAUAAAACAGGCUUAACUUUGGAAACAGGUGGUCCUUUAGCUCUUCAGAAUUUUCCCUGAAUUUUUGUUUUACAAAGGUUUCAAUAAUGCAGACUAUUCUUAAUGUCUUUGUGAUCCUCAUUUUUUGAGCUUUGUGUACUCCUCAUAGCCUGUUUCUAAAAUUCUCCCCUUCUUCAGACAGCCUAAACAUUUCUUGAGCCUGAAAUCAUGACUGAAAUUCUAGACUAAGCUGUUAUGCAGUAAGUUGCUUUUCAAACAGAUCUGAUCCCAAAACUUUUUACUUUGCUAUUAUGUAAUUUCAUGCUCUCAUGCCAAUAGUUUGAGCUUCUGUCUCCCUCAAAUUAGCUGAUAAUACAGAAAAUUUAAACCAUGUGUAGAAAAUCAAUAAUUAAAUAAUUUUGGCUCUGCCUUCUUCACUCUCAAAUCCUGCAAUCACUGCAUCAGCAGAGAAUGUUGAGCAUAAUCCUUUUAAUGCAUUGACCACAUAUGUCAACACCUGCUUCUGUCAGCUGUCAGAAGAUAGAAUGGCUUUUCUGAUAGAGCUUUUUCUAAAAUAAGGAUUAUUUACUCUUUUUGUCUCUCUGUAGAUCUGAUUUGGCUGGUUGACUUCAGUGAUUUAAGGUCAAUAAGAGUGCAAUUUCUGAGCAGUUUGGUUUAUGACACCUUUUUUUGUUCAAAUUCUUGUUGACUACAUUAAGGGGAGAACAAAUUCCUAAUUGUUCCUUGGUGAUAUAAAUAACUCAAUGGUCCAAAAACCACAACCGGAUUUUAUUGCAAAGUGGAGUUUGGGGAAUAUUGAACUUCCAGAUAACACUAAAGUAACAUGGAUAGUAGAUAGAUUUUCUUAUUUCUCAUUUUAUUUUGUUCUUUCUCUAAUUGUUUCUUGGACUUCUGUGCAGUUUAGUUUAUUGAUGAAUUAUGUUUGUAUGGAAUAGAAGCCUAUAGCUGCCAGUUUAUUUCUAGGAAGUCAGUGUUAUAAUUGCAUAUAAUUGCUGGUAUUAUCAACUAGAUUUUCUCAGUAUUUUCCUUAGUUGUAGUCACAUGAUUCCUGAGUGUGCUACCACUCACAACUUACACCUGUUUUGAUUUUAGUUGCCAGAACUGCCAAUUUCAAACUUAAACCAUAAGCUUUCUUUUAAAUUAUGAGCUCCCAAAUACCCAGAAAGAAGGCAGUAUGACUAAAUGUCACUUAAGAAAGUGAUGGAAAAAAAACCACUUCCAUGUAACUGUAGUUUAUUACCUAUAUUUUUAUGUAUCUUCUGUCUUUCAGGAGAGGGAAAUACAAGGUGUUGGUAAAACCCCAUAAUGUUUGCAAUGGAGCUUAUACAUUCUUAAGUUCUUUUGCCAUGUUUUGAAGGUCAAUGGAAAUGUACCCAAAAACUAAAAAACCCCAAAUUAAAUUUGCUAAAAGGAAAAUAAAAUCCACACCAAGGCAAAAGCCUCUCUUCCAGGAUAUCCGUCAGCUUUCCUAUGAAAUGGGGAGAUGUAGGGAUACUUUGGAUGUUGGGUAACUUUGGGGAAGAUCAUGUUACCUCACUGGUUGUAAGGAAGGCAACUGACAUCUCUUUGGGCAGGAUUCAGCUGUGUCUCAAUACAUCUAAAAUCAGAGGAGAACAUAGAAUUAGUUAUACCUAAUUUGUCACAAUCGUUGUUUAAGUGAUUUUGCUACAGUAAUUAUUGCCUAAUAUCAGCAUUCUUUCUCUAACACACAUCUUCUGUCACUUAACUCACUAUUGCAGGAUAAUUAUUCCAGUGGAACCAUCACUUGUGCAGGCUUGGUACAGCAUUAUAGUAAUAAAGAAAUCAAAACAGACUUUUAAAGUACUCUUAAUUCCCUUUGUAUCAUAGCAAAUGCUUAAAGCAGUCUGUAGAUGAAUUUUUAGUAUGUAUUUGUAGUUGUAACUUUUCUUCCUAAAUCAGAAGCACAGAAAAAAAUCUAAG